UCCGGGGAGUUGAUUGGCGUGACCAUGCGCUCGACCGUGAGGAAGGCGGCCAGGUUGGCCGUGUAGGAGGAGAUUAGGAUGAG
rnacentral:miRNA from 1 species